rnacentral:rRNA from 1 species
AUGGAGCUGAACAAGGCCAGAAGCAACGGAGCGGAAUCAUCAUCUGCUAGCAAUCACAAGAGCUGGUUAGCGUUGUGGGACACGGCCGCCCCGGGGAAAGCUAAGAUUCAUAUGUGGCGCCUGAUGAAGAACGGCCUUGCAGUUGGCCAUGAGCUAAGAAGAAGAAGCAUUAAGGCAGGAGUGUUUUGUGCCGCGUGCAGCCGGGACGAGACCGUCUAUCACCGCUUUUGGGGUUGCCCGCACUCGGCCUUGUUCUGGAAGAAGUUGUGCUCGGAAACGGGAAUGAAGGUGGCGAUCCCACCUUGUCAUAUGGAUUCCCAGAGUGCACUCUCACGAUGGCUUCUGGACUGGUUUGUAACUGCCCAAGAUGAAGAGCGUGCGUUGGUGAUUCAGGUUGUGUAUGCACUGUGGUUGGCGCGGAACAAAGCGAGAGACGGGAAGCGGAUUGAGGAGCCGCUGGCGAUCCGGGUGGUGUCUCUUUCUGAGGAGUGGAAGCAAGUCCAUCAGCGAACCUCUCCUCAGCCGAAGCAACGAAUCAGAGCUAGAUGGGAAGCACCGGAGGAAGGGUGGGUGAAGGCCAACGCCGAUGGUGCUCUAUCUGUCCACAGGGAGCAAGGAGGGGUUGGCGUCGUCCUCCGUGACCAUCAUGGUGGUUUCCUGGCUGCGGCAUUCCACUCCUUUAACCAUGUGGUUUGUCCCGAGGUUGCUGAAGCUCUUGCCUGCAAGCGGGCGAUCCAAGUGGCCGCAGAGAUCAAUGUGGAACGACUACACCUGGAGCUGGACAAUGUUGUUGUAGCUCAAGCCAUCAAGGGAAACAAGGAAGGAUCUCUCGUUGAUCGGGCCGGCUGUCCAAGAAAUCAAGAACCCGCUCCAGAUGUUCAGUGUUGUGAAGGUGUCAUGGAGGAGCCGUGA